GACGACGUCAAGUCAUCAUUGCCCUUACGACCAGGGCUACACACGUGCUACAAUGGCGUAUACAAAGGGAUGCGAAGGUGCGAACUGGAGCGGACCUCACAAAGUACGUCUAAGUCCGGAUUGGAGUCUGCAACUCGACUCCAUGAAGUCGGAAUCGCUAGUAAUCGUGAAUCAGAAUGUCACGGUGAAUACGUUCCCGGGCCUUGUACACACCGCCCGUCACACCAUGGGAGUGGGUUGCACCAGAAGUAGAUAGCUUAACCUUCGGGAGGGCGUUUACCACGGUGUGGUUCAUGACUGGGGUGAAGUCGUAACAAGGUAACCAAGGGCGAAUUCUG
rnacentral:rRNA from 1 species